CACGUAGGCACCAAGCGUUGUCCGGAUUUAUUGGGCGUAAAGAGCUCGUAGGCGGUUCGAUAAGUCGGGUGUGAAAACUUUGGGCUCAACCCAAAGCGUGCAUUCGAUACUGUUGUGACUAGAGUUCGGUAGGGGAGUGGGGAAUUCCUAGUGUAGCGGUGAAAUGCGCAGAUAUUAGGAGGAACACCGGUGGCGAAGGCGCCACUCUGGGCCGAAACUGACGCUGAGGAGCGAAAGCUAGGGGAGCGAACAGG
rnacentral:rRNA from 1 species